GCAUCGAUGAAGAACGCAGCGAAAUGCGAUAAGUAAUGUGAAUUGCAGAAUUCAGUGAAUCAUCGAAUCUUUGAACGCACCUUGCGCUCCUUGGUAUUCCGAGGAGCAUGCCUGUUUGAGUGUCUAUAAAUUCUCAAUCUUCAUAUUUUUGUGAUGAUUGGAUGUGGGAGUUCUGUGAAUGUUUCAUUGAUACAUUCACUCUCCUGAAAUGUAUUAGCUGGAAUGCCUUUGCAUGUCCAACUAUCAGUGUGAUAAAUAUCAGUACUGUAGUUAUUGCAUAAGGGAAUCUGCUUCUUAGCUGUCGCAAGACAAAUUUGAAUCUUCUUGACCUCAAAUCAGGUAGGACUACCCGCUGAACUUAAGCAUAUCAAUAAGCGGAGGAA
rnacentral:rRNA from 1 species